UGAGGAAUAUUGCGCAAUGGGGGAAACCCUGACGCAGCAACGCCGCGUGGGUGAAGAAGGCCUUCGGGUCGUAAAGCCCUUUCAGACGGGACGAACGUCGGCCGGGGAUAACCCGGUCGAUCUGACGGUACCGUAAGAAGAAGCACCGGCUAACUCCGUGCCAGCAGCCGCGGUAAUACGGAGGGUGCAAGCGUUGUUCGGAAUUACUGGGCGUAAAGCGCGUGUAGGCGGUCUUGCAAGUCAGACGUGAAAGCCCUCGGCUUAACCGGGGAAGUGCGUCUGAAACGGCAGGACUUGAGUACGGGAGAGGGAGGCGGAAUUCCCAGUGUAGAGGUGAAAUUCGUAGAUAUUGGGAGGAACACCGGUGGCGAAAGCGGCCUCCUGGACCGAUACUGACGCUGAGACGCGAAAGCGUGGGGAGCAAACAGG
rnacentral:rRNA from 1 species